AAAAAAUUGCACAUUUUACAGUUGUUUUCCAUGCAUGAAUAAACAAUAAUCAUGUUGAAGUACUAACAAACAAAGAAACCCCACUCCUCCAUCCAUCCACCUUUUAGUUUUCUAGAUAGAUUGUUGCUUUUUGAAUUUUCAGAGGUCACUAAUACCUAAUCAUGAAUAUCAUAUGCUAGAUUAGUGUUUAUUUGAAUAUUACUCCCCUGUCUUCGUGUUUAUGUCUGCUGAUGUAGGUGUAUUUCAGUAAAUAAUUUAAGCUUUUUUUUUUAAUUUUAUAAAUUUUAAGUUAUUCUUUUCUGGUAUAUACCGAAUAUCUUCUGCGUGCAACCGUAGAAUUAAUCUCUCGAAUCUUGUGGAUCUAAAUGGACGACAAACUCUCUUUAUGCUGAUACAUACCAAAUCAGGGAUCGAAUCCACAACCUUAACAAAAAUAUUUCAGUUAUUCAACGUACAUGAAAUAUGAAUUAUUGUUUAUAUAUGAGAUUGAUGAGCGUAAUGUCUUAGUAUUAUUUAGUUAUCUCAAAGAGUGUAAUGACAAAACUCAUACACACUAAUAAAGAGAAGUAGAUUAAAUGCUUUGUUUAUAGAUUAUUGUUUUUAUUGUUGUAUUUAUGUUAUUUACACACACUAAGAAAAUCAAUAAAUUUUAUAAUUUUUGGUAAAAUAAUUUGUGUUGUUCUUAAACUAUAUUAUAGUUAAAGAUACUAAUUAAUAUUGACUAAAUAAUAAUUGAUAUUUUGCUUAAUCUAAUUUGAGUUUUUAAAAAGGUGUAGUGGCAAAGUUGGGACUACGUAGCAACCAGCAAAAGACAAAUAGAUAUAUAAUAUGAUUAAAUAUUGUUUAUUAAGCCAUGAAAAGCCUCUCUAACUAUAUAUGCUUCCAAGCAAGACAAUCCAAGAGUUGGAGUAUGUUUUAAGGAAAACAGAAAAACAACAUGAUUUUGACUCCAGAUUGCACGGAAAGAUCCACCUUCAAAUCCAGUGAAGUACAUGCAAGUGUAAAAAUAAAACUUUGUCUAUUGGCAAUCACAAAUUACCAAAAAAGAUAAAAUUAUCUACCCCUUCCAAGAUAUAACAUAUUUU
rnacentral:lncRNA from 1 species